UUUGCUAACACUUUCUAGAAUCAAAUGGUCAGGCUUAUUGUUUCUCCUUAGGUCUCCCUGAGUCCUUAUAGUGUCAUGCAAAGAUCCCUGGGCUGAAAGUCAGAAGAUUUCUGUUCUUCUUCCUGUUCCACCACCAGUCAGUGCUUGGCUUUCUUUCUUCUGAGUCUCACUCUCAUAUUUGAACAUCAGAGGGCUGGUCUACUUGAGUUCUAUCAUUGUAGCAUCUUAGUAUUGUGAUUCUCUAAGGCUCCUUAUAUAAUAGAUAAUCAACAUGAGGCAUAAAGACACUAUUUCUGUACACAUGCCUAAUGUUAUUUUUGGCUUUGUUAUAAACCUAAUAUUGAACACCAAAGCUAAAGGCUGUCUUUCCUAUACUUGCAUUGAGAAAUGACUAAUUGUAUAGCCCAGAUUUCUCAAGAUCUCUCCUUCCUGCAGAUAUCUGUGAGGCAUGCUAACAUUAAAGACUCCAAUGUCACUAUCACAUGUCCUCUUAUGCUGACACAGGUCCCCUCAACCCCUGGAAGUUUUUACCCUACGGACGGUUUUUCCCUACAUUCUCAUAUGGCCACAGAUAAGUUGGAGCUUAUGUUGUGGGACACAGCUGUUUUUAAGUUGGGGUUGUUGCUGCUCUGCUGGGCAUGGCUGGUACAUUUCUGCUAUUCCAGGCUUGACAUUUGACUGGUUCAGCAGUCUCUCCGUGGCUGCUGCUAACGCUGUGCUGGGUUUAAAAGCCUGCUCCAAAUGCUGCCUCUAUUCCAUUGUCAAGUAUCUUGUCUCUGUGACUGAUCCAUAAGGCAUGGCAUUUUCUCCUGACUGACCACCCUCAGGCAGUUGGCAAGGCAUGGCAGACACAGUGCCAGCUCUGCCAGGCACCAUGCUGUGACUUCAGGGCACCAAAGCUGUGUGAUGAUUUAUACCCUAUGGAAAAGUGGUCAGGGGAGACUUUUUCUUUCUGUUAAGUUCUGCUAGAGGGAAUUCCAAUGCAGAGUUGCUCAUGUCACAAAGUAAAACCACUUCAGCAUUUACUUAGAACUCUCUGCUUCCCAUCAUACUCAGACUAAGCUGAACUGGAGUUAAGGUAGGGAUGAAUCUCAGACUUGCUGUGUUCGGAAUUAUCUUCCUCAUCCCAUGACACAGACUUUUUUACUGAGUCAACCUAAUCUUUCCUGGAUCAUUCCUCUCUCAGGACCAGUCCUCUUCCAGAAAAUUUCUCAGUCUUUAUGCAGACAAGAUUCUGGGGGCUGACACUGCUUUUUUUGCCAGAUGUCCCUAGACACAUCUGAAUCUCUUUUAGUCUCAAGCUGGAGCCUUUAUCACCAUUGCACAAAAAGCUGGGUAUAGUUCAAAUUCCUGACUGUAUAUUCUGAUUCCCCCGGGCAUUUACACUCUGCCAUCCCACACAGUUCCCCCUCCUGUGUGAGGGUCCUAUUGCAAUUCAUUAGCGUGCUUUUUUUUUUUUUUUUUUUGCUUUUUUUUUUGGAGACGGAGUCUUGCUCUGUCCCUCAGGCUGGAGUGCAGUGGCACCAUCUCAGCUGAAUGCAACCUCUGCCUCCUGGGUUCAAGAGAUUCUCCUGCCUCAGCCUCCCAAGUAGCUGGGAUUACAGGUGCGCGCCACCACGCCUGGCUAAUUUUUUGUAUUUUUAGUAGAGACAGGGUUUCACCGUGUUAGCCAGGAUGACCUUGAUCUUCUGACCUCGUGAUCCUCCCACCUCAGCCUCCCAAAGUGCUGGGAUUAUAGGCGUGAGCCACAGCGCCCGGCCUUCAGCGUGCUUUUUUUUAAUGGUUUGCUAUAUUUACAUCUGGUUUCUCCUUCUGAAUGAGAAGGAUGGAGCACAUGCCCCAGAUGAAGCCUACACGACAUGAGUCAGAGAACUUUGGCCAGGAUGUCUGGGGACAAAGUUUCCUCUUUCUUCUCUGGGAGCUAUCUGGAGAGGGUUGUUUUAAAGCUGGAUGUGAACAGCGACUCGUGUAGCCCCAGAAGCCUCUGACAGCCGCGUUGGAAUCAUAAGUUCUCAAAAUGAAGGUGACAUUGCAGGAAUCAGGGAAGAGGGAAGGAAAAAUUAUUUAAAGCCUCACCCAAGGCGGGCCCUACCACCUGAAUAUUUAAGUUACUUGGACCAUGAAAUUGUAUUUUUAAAGCCA